AUGCUUGCUUUGGCAGCACAUAUACUAAACCCGGAAUGAUACAGAGAAGAUUACCAUGGCCCCUGCACACGGAUGACAUGCAAAUUCAUGAAGCAUUCCAUAGUUUU
rnacentral:snRNA from 1 species